rnacentral:rRNA from 1 species
GACGAACGCUGGCGGCGUGCUUAACACAUGCAAGUCGAACGGACAGGCCCUGCUUUUGUUGGGUGCUCGAUUGGCGAACGGGUGAGAAACACGUGUGUAACCUGCCCUUGACUUUGGGACAACUUCUGGAAACUGGGGCUAAUACCGGGUAGGAGCUCCUGCUCCAUGGUGUGGGUUGGAAAGUUUCGGCGGUUGGGGAUGGACUCGCGGCUUCUCAGCUUGUUGGUGGGGUAGUGGCUUACCAAGGCUUCGACGGGUAGCCGGCCUGGGAGGGGGGCCGGCCACAUUAGGACUGAGAUACGGCCCAGACUGCAACGGGAGGCAGCGGUGGGGAGGAUUACACAGUGGGCGGGAGGCUGAUGCAACAACGCCGCGUGCGGGAAGACGGGCUUCGGGUUGUAAACCAAUGUCGCCUGUGACGAGGCGUGAGUGACGGUAACGGAUAAAGAAGCACCGGCUAACUACGUG